rnacentral:tRNA from 1 species
CAAUUCGAUAGUUUAGUAGAAUUCUGGCUUUGGGAGUCAGCGGCCCCUUUUAGUAGGGUGAAUUGA